rnacentral:lncRNA from 1 species
GCAGCAGCUGUCCUUUGCGGGGCUGUGGACCUCACCGUGGACCUCACGCUGUGGACCUCACUGUGAACGUCACACCAUGGACCUCACACCGUGGACCUCACACCGUGGGCCUCACGCCGUGGAGCUCACCGUGAACCUCACACCGUGGAGCUCACCGAUUGUCCAGCGCUACCUCAGGUCCCUGCCAGAUGCUGCUCUCAUGCCAGGUAACAGAUGACUGAGUUAAAACACAAAUUACAAAAGGCUCCAAAGGUGGAAAGAAAGAAAUUCUGGGAGAGAUGGGGUCACAAGAUGUGGAGGGGAACCUGUGUUUCACAAGGUGGCAGGAGAAAUCGUCUCUGAAGAAGCAUCGUUUGAACAGAAAUCUGAAGAAUGGAAACAGCAGUAGACGUGAGAAGAGGACAAAGCCCAGAAUGAGGUGCGGAGGCAAGGCUGGAGAGGAAGGGAGGCCUUGGCUGCCUGAGAGAACUUCCUCUUUUGAUUUCUUGUUUCAUCAUGAGGUCAGCAUGCCCAGUGAGGCAAGGUUCCCCACGUGCGUUAAAAAUGCAGUGGAAAGACCAAACGAAAACUUGAACCCCUGUCAGCUUAUGCGUCUUUCCAUCCAGCAGAUCCCGGCCUUGUGCCCGCCGCGUGUUGAUGCGGUCUUAGCAGAUGUGGGAACGCUGCAGUGUGCAAAGCCUAAGUUCUCACUACUUGGCUUAAGAGGAAAUGUUAGCCGCUUAGAAAAAACAGGCAACAAAAACAAAAGGUUAACAAAGGCCGCAUCCUGCUCUGCGGCAGGGGACACAGCCACACACCUGGCUGCUUGUCACUGCCACAGAAAUGUGCGCAGUGUCCUGUACAGCAGAUUUAAGCCAGUGGCGGCGGGGGUUUCCCCCACAGAGAGGGGGCAUCUGAGUUUGAGAAGAGACAGCACCUUAAAAGGGGCACUUUGUUUAGCAUUGUAUUGCAUUUAUUUUAUAAAAUAG